UGUUUGUUUACAACCUAUGGAGACCGAAAUGCAAAGAGGAGCAAUGUCGACCGACAAGCUUUGUACAUAGACGAGUUGCAUCAAGUCCAGGCAAGGGACAUGCAGAAAUUCUACCCCUGUCGUUGUCCAGCGUGACAGUCUGACCGUCAAAGCAUGCAUUUCCUGAAAAUGACUGCUGAGGAGCAGCAUGAGUCUCCAGAUGAGGAGGAGAUCAAUUAUUUGAGAAAAACAAUCAUUGACAUCGAUGAUCCUGGUCAGAGGUUCAGGAAAAGGAGACGGGUCUGAUGAGGAAUAUAUUCCUCACCUUUGUUUAUGGACAACUUCAGACUUCGAGAACUUCCAAAAUCACAUCCUGAUGUAUGCAGGGAAGCAUUUUGGCUUUAGCCCACCUGUAUACACAGCUCAGACGUUGCUUGCAGAGUAAAAUAAUUCACCGACAUAAUUUCUUGUUCAUGUCUUGUCACAUCCCUAAAUAAAUGUUGCUGUAAUUGCAAAUGAUCUGAUUAUCACAACCUGUUUUCUCAUAACUUCUCACUUGAAUCAAAAUCUCUGGGAAAUUCUCUGCAUUUGGUGUUUUUCACAAUGAAUAUAAA